GGGGAUGUGGUGUAACGGGAGCACACUGCGGUCGCAUCGCAGGAAUGAGGGUUCGAUUCCCUCCAUCUCCA
rnacentral:tRNA from 1 species